AUCCAAAUUCAAAGAAAAAAAUUAGAAAACAGGUAUGCAAUUUGAUCACAAUCUGAAUUUCAGCAUAUGUCAAUUUCAGCACAUAAAUUAGAUCUUUAUGGUUUUAUAUUUUUAUGCAUGUAUGAUUCAGAUUAAAAGUAUUUUAAUCUUAUAUUUCACUAUAGUGUUUAGAAAAUAAAGUUUUGAAACACACAUGCAUGCCCCAAACCUCAAAUUUCAAUAGUAGUAUCAGAGCCACGGGUUUCAUAUUGCUGAAAUUAUCAUACAUAUUUUGAAAAAAAUUUCAAAAUCUAAUUUUUUUUGAUACAUGAGAUGUAUAGAUAAAUCUUUGAAUCUGAUAUUUUAUUUUAUAUUUGAUUUUAGAAUAUAUAGAUAAUAUGUCAAAGCAUGCAU
rnacentral:lncRNA from 1 species